rnacentral:rRNA from 1 species
GACGAACGCUGGCGGCGUGCUUAACACAUGCAAGUCGAACGGAAAUGCCCUGCGUUUGUUGGGUGCUCGAGUGGCGAACGGGUGAGUAACACGUGAGUAACCUGCCCUUGACUGUGGGAUAAAUUCAGGAAACUGCGGCUAAUACCGGAGAGGAGCUCCUGCUGCAUGGGGGGGGUGGGAGAGUGUCGGCGGUUGGGGACGGACGCGCGGCUGCUCGUCGUGUUGGUGCGGUAGUGGCUUACCAAGGCUUUGACGGGCGGCCGGCCUGAGACGGUGACCGGCCCCAUUGGGACUGGGGUACCGGCAAGAGUCCUUCGGGAGGCAGCAGUGAGAGUCAGUGCACGCUGGGCCGAGGCCUGAUGCAACAACUCCGCGUGCUGGAUGACGGUCUUCGGGUUGUAACACGCUUUCGCCUAUGACGGCGCGAGCGUGACGGUAAUGGGUCAAAAAGCAACGGCUAACUACGUG